rnacentral:rRNA from 1 species
UACGAAGGGUGCAAGCGUUACUCGGAAUCACUGGGCGUAAAGCGUGCGUAGGCGGCUUCUUAAGUCUGUCGUGAAAGCCCUGGGCUCAACCUGGGAAUGGCGAUGGAUACUGGGAGGCUAGAGUGUGAUAGAGGAUGGUGGAAUUCCCGGUGUAGCGGUGAAAUGCGUAGAGAUCGGGAGGAACACCAGUGGCGAAGGCGGCCAUCUGGAUCAACACUGACGCUGAGGCACGAAAGCGUGGGGAGCAAACAGG